AAAUAAUGACAAACUUAUUUUAUUUUUGAACACUGCAGGUAAUUAUCCGUAAAUAACCCAAACAUUUCAAUUUAAUCGGGUUUCCACAAAAAACAAAAACAAUGUUUACAGUCAACAUGACACUAAAAAAAAAAAAAAAAGAUUUGUUGUUGCGUAAACAGCAGCGAAACUAUGGAAGAUUCCAGUAUCGUUUUGUCUGCUUACACAGUUUUAAAUGUUUAAUUCAUGUCCAGAAUUUAACAAAGAAGUUAUGCCUUUCCAAUGAGUGUUUCAAGCCUCUAUUAUUCAGCCGAGUGUAACAUCUGCCAUGUUCAGCCCUUAUCCACUCACCACACACCAUCUGCUGGGUGCAGCUCUCUACCUUACUUUUAUCAAGGAAGCCGUUAGCUGGGGAUUCCCGAUUCCUCCCAGAGUCUUAUUCCUACUACUUAGGGAUGAUUAAUCCAAUAAAAAGAAGAAGAAGAAAAAAAAAAAACUCGCAGGUGAAAGGCCAGACAUGGACGAUGUUCCUCAAGGAAGACUUUUGUGAACGGAACAGAAUCUAGACAAGUUCCGCAAGAUGAUGUCCAAAUACGCAGCAGGCAUUCUUGUCCAGGCAGCGCAUGCGUGUUAUUGUUCCCACACAGAAGUGGACGCACACAUUAGAAGGGGACACCAAUUCACACCAACUUCCUGCAUGCGUACUUUCACACAAGCAAAGAGACAGAUGAGACCUACGCUUGCCUUUCAUCUAGGGUGAUGCACUAAAACUAAGAAGGUGAGAAACAACCCUGCAAAAAAAAAAAAAAAGCCACACUCACAGCGCUUACCAAGCUUCAUGCCCGGCUUCUCUGAGCGGACACUCGCACCAAACACGCCUGAAGCACAGCUCGACUGAGGACAGCCAACCUACGCCACAAUUGUUCAGCUUAUGUAAUAAUUGGCUCGUAACUGGCAAAGGACUGAGACUGAAAAGAUUCUUCCACUGUGGCCUCAGAGAAAAGGAGGAAGAUCCAACAUCCCUGGUGAUUCUGGCAAAUCUGUGGGAAGGCAAAUGAUGUUUCACAUAAGACCUUGUGCUCUUUUAGAGCAUGCUGCUGGGAUUGCGGCACCAAAGGGGUGUGGCUUAAAAAAAAACAUCAUAGCAUUUGUUAGAGCAAUGUGGGUAAGGCAUGUGUUGGGGGAUGUCCUCCACAGGACUGAACUAUGUGCUGCUCUUCAUACACUGUAACCUGCUCAAAUAAAUUCAGUGAUUAAAAACAUG